UUUUUCUUAGUUUUUCUUUAUGGCUUUUCUUAGUUUUUUCCGCAUUUGGUGUAAUUAUAUAUUGUAAGUUCACUUAUGGCUAAUAACAUUUUCACUAUCUCAUAAAAUUUCAGGUUUUUCGUAUAUGUUAGUUGGGAUCAUAAGGAAAAAAUAAUCUACGUUACGAAGAAAGAGCUGAAUUGUGGAAUUUAGAAGAUGAGUAAUUUGAGGAGUUAAUAAUUCAGCCAACUUUGAGUUACCAUGAUCAAUAUUUCGAAAGAGCACCAAUGCAAAUUGAUGGAGGUAUAGGAUGGAGAAAUAUUUGGCAUCGACUACAAUAAGAUGUUGUUGCUUGUCUUCAGUUAUUACGAAUGUCACUCACAGCAUUCACAACAUUGUGCAGUCUGUUACAAACAAAUUACAAUCUAUAACCAACACUAUAUAUAAGCAUUG
rnacentral:sRNA from 1 species